GACGAACGCUGGCGGCGUGCUUAACACAUGCAAGUCGAACGGAAAGGCCCUGCUUUUGUGGGGUGCUCGAGUGGCGAACGGGUGAGUAACACGCGAGUAACCUGCCCUUGACUUUGGGAUAACUUCAGGAAACUGGGGCUAAUACCGGAUAGGAGCUCCUGCUGCAUGGUGGGGGUUGGAAAGUUUCGGCGGUUGGGGAUGGACUCGCGGCUUAUCAGCUUGUUGGUGGGGUAGUGGCUUACCAAGGCUUUGACGGGUAGCCGGCCUGAGAGGGUGACCGGCCACAUUGGGACUGAGAUACGGCCCAGACUCCUACGGGAGGCAGCAGUGGAGAAUAUUGCACAAUGGGCGGAAGCCUGAUGCAGCAACGCCGCGUGCGGGAUGACGGCCUUCGGGUUGUAAACCGCUUUCGCCUGUGACGAAGCGUGCGUGACGGUAAUGGGUAAGGAAGCACCGGCUAACUACGUG
rnacentral:rRNA from 1 species